rnacentral:lncRNA from 1 species
CUCCUCUCAAACUACCUUCACCUUCCAGACCCCUCCUCUCAAACUACCUUCACCUUCCAGACCCCUCUUCUCCAAAACUACCCUGCCUUUCCAGACCCCUCCUCUCUAAUACUUGGACUAGUGGAUGAGGGGGGAUGAUCCUAAAGAGGCAGAGGACUAAAACCCACAAAAUGUUGGACAGUGUUAUUCAGGAUGGUGGAAUGGUACAGAACGUGCACAUAGAAGUAUGUUGUGUAGAAGAGACGUGAUGAGGAGCGUUGGUAAUCGUGUCAGCUCCAUAUGCUACGUUUCUAUCUGCAAGGUUUCCAGUCUUGCCCUUCUAACCACACCCCCUGGACAACGCAUCACUCUGGGUGGAACUUCAUCUUAACCAAUCACAUGCCACCUCUGUGUCACCAUGCUGCGAGUCAACCUGCUGCAACCAAUCGACACGCACAGCUCUGUGGAUCUGAAAAGGGGAUUCUGGGAAGUGUAGUGAUUCUGGGUGCGAGCAGAGAGGAUGCUGGGAUAGCCCUGACUCACGGCGAUGUAGGGGACACCACUAAACCCCGCCCAUCCAGAGGCAAACAGAAAACCAGAACAAAGUACAAAGCUGAACAUUUUGACGUUUUUGUUGUGCACCUGAGAACCUGCCUGUUUGAGACUGUGUUUUUGUUUGUAAGAGAGUUUACAAUGAGGCAACUCGCCCUCGGAUUGGAGUUGACCAGUAACAAAUGAUUAUUUUCCCUCUUUUUCAGUGCUUAUUGUUAUUGUCCAUGCUUAUCUAUCCAGAGGGAGAGCAGAUCUGUGUGCAUCUCUCCUUUUGAAAAUAAUGAAAACAAACUGUUACUGUUGGACAGAAAUGGACCGUCUCUGUCAGAAAAUAGCAUCCAAUGACAUCACUGGAACGUGUACUCUGGGCCUUCUGUGUGGCUGUGGAACACACAGGCCUGGUUCCAAACUGACCACUAGCCCCUUGACCACUAAGCAUCUCCUGACUCACCCUCAAUCAAAUGAAACGGAGAGGUUUGAGCCUAAGCGAUGAUCAUGUGUCUUUAGAUUUUAAAAAAUAAAAUAAAAUCUGGAGCAGUGGAUUCAAGCAACAUGGCAGAUACUUCACACAGUCUACCAGAUAACUUCACACAGUCUACCAGAUAACUUCACACAGUCUACCAGAUAACUUCACACAACUGUGGGUUGCGCCGACUAGCGAUGAAAUUUGUUCUGGUGCGCAGAUCUUUCAUCACUGGUAAUUUGGACAAAUCACGAUUUCGCAGGCGUCUUUUCGAAUUUCGGAAGAGUAAGGGGACAUUUGGCCCAUACACCUCUCCUGUAACCUGGAUCUCCUAGUUCUAGUAUAUUCUCUAACACGUCUGCCCCCAGAACUUAAUUAAGCAUCUAACGCAAUUGCACAGGAUUUUUCACUCUGGGUGUCCGAGAUGACCUACCAUGUGUUUUCAGAUGUUCCGGGGCUAAGGGAAGGGGGUCAGGGCUAGGGGCCAGUCCAGGGUUUGGGACAAGGCCUGUCCGUGUUUAGUCUCAGACAGACAGAAGCGUGUAGUAUAUAAUAUGGGUGUUUGACUCGGAUGCGUCUGGUUCCAGGUCAAUAAGCUGACUGACCUCUAGGGUUGGGGGGGUCAGUUCUUUAUUAAUUCAGUCUUUGAAAUGGAAUUGAUCCCAACCCUGCUGACCUCACUGUGUGGCAGUGAUACUAACGCCUCUCUUUCACAGCUGAUCUAACAGGAGCUUUAUGUUGAAAAUGAAUAAAUAUAACAUAAAUAAAUCAAAGUAACUGAUUAGUAAACGUGCUCUGACUGGCUCUACAGUGGAAUUUGUUGAAAUAAAUGUUCUGAGUAGCGCUUACUCUGAUUCUCACUGUCUGUGUGGUGUGUGGGUGUGUGUGUGAUAGCAAUGUAAUCUUCAUCCUGACCAGCAGAUGUCGCUGAAGUGCCAUAUAAAAUCUGAGAGGCACACCCAAAUCUGGAUCCGUCAUCAAUAUUUUAUAUCUUCAUGUUCAGGUCCUUUUACAUUCAGAAAAUAUAGUGAAAUACAACUAUUAUGAUUAUCCUCAUCCAGGCUGCAGUAAGAUUUCCAACUUCAAUAGAUUCCUUUUUAAAAGAGGGUAUGGUUUAAUAUCCUUUACCAACAAGCGGCAAAAUGAUCAACUGCAUAAUUAUUACUUUAGGGGUAGACCUACCACAAUCUGAUCAGUUCUAGGUAAUAGCCCUUAGCAGCAGUGAUAUUACUGCAGUUUCCAUAUUCAUGUAUAAAGCAUGGAUGGAUGGGUUGUUAUUUAGCUUGGCCUGGCAUGGAAAAUAUUCUACUUUCCUUCUCAAAUAAGAUUAACUAUUAAACUUUUAUGAAGCAGGGUCUUAUUUUGGGGUUCUGUCCCAUUUUUUCUGUUCAUUCGUGACGUUUUCUCGUUUAUGAAUAAGAAACGGACUGGGGAUUUUCUUUCAGGCUGUGCACAGUGCCCGGAAAAACCAUGGUUGCCAUGUUGGAG